CAAAGCCUGUCUCAGUUCGGAUUGGAGGCUGAAACCCGCCUCCAUGAAGUUGGAUUCGCUAGUAAUCGCGCAUCAGCCAUGGCGCGGUGAAUACGUUCCCGGGCCUUGUACACACCGCCCGUCAAGCCAUGGGAGCCGGGGGUGCCUGAAGUUCGUGACCGCAAGGAGCGACCUAGGGCAAAACUGGUGACUGGGGCUAAGUCGUAACAAGGUACC
rnacentral:rRNA from 1 species